GAUGAACGCUGGCGGCGUGCCUAAUACAUGCAAGUCGAGCGAACAGACGAGGAGCUUGCUCCUCUGACGUUAGCGGCGGACGGGUGAGUAACACGUGGAUAACCUACCUAUAAGACUGGGAUAACUUCGGGAAACCGGAGCUAAUACCGGAUAAUAUAUUGAACCGCAUGGUUCAAUAGUGAAAGACGGUUUUGCUGUCACUUAUAGAUGGAUCCGCGCAGCAUUAGCUAGUUGGUAAGGUAACGGCUUACCAAGGCAACGAUGCGUAGCCGACCUGAGAGGGUGAUCGGCCACACUGGAACUGAGACACGGUCCAGACUCCUACGGGAGGCAGCAGUAGGGAAUCUUCCGCAAUGGGCGAAAGCCUGACGGAGCAACGCCGCGUGAGUGAUGAAGGUCUUCGGAUCGUAAAACUCUGUUAUUAGGGAAGAACAAAUGUGUAAGUAACUGUGCACGUCUUGACGGUACCUAAUCAGAAAGCCACGGCUAACUACGUG
rnacentral:rRNA from 1 species